rnacentral:misc_RNA from 1 species
UUAAUUCUUGCUUUUUGAUUCAGACAAAUACUUUACCGCAUAAACGAGGUGCCGGAGCACCAAAGCACAUCUUGCUUCCACAGGUUUACAGGGUUGAAGGCAAAAGCCAUUCAUUAAUGAUCCCUCCGCAGGUUCACCUACGGAGA